rnacentral:rRNA from 1 species
CCUACGGGUGGCAGCAGUCGGGAAUAUUGCGCAAUGGAGGAAACUCUGACGCAGUGACGCCGCGUGCAGGAAGAAGGUUUUCGGAUUGUAAACUGCUUUAGACAGGGAAGAAAAAAGACAGUACCUGUAGAAUAAGCUCCGGCUAACUACGUGCCAGCAGCCGCGGUAAUACGUAGGGAGCAAGCGUUAUCCGGAUUUAUUGGGUGUAAAGGGUGCGUAGACGGAGAAGCAAGUUAGUUGUGAAAUCCCUCGGCUUAACUGAGGAACUGCAACUAAAACUACUUCCCUUGAGUACUGGAGAGGAAAGUGGAAUUCCUAGUGUAGCGGUGAAAUGCGUAGAUAUUAGGAGGAACACCAGUGGCGAAGGCGGGUUCCUGGACAUUAACUGACGCUGAGGCACGAAGGCCAGGGGAGCGAAAGGGAUUAGAUACCCGGGUAGUC